rnacentral:rRNA from 1 species
CCCGAUAGGUCUCGAUUGCUGGAAUGCAUCGAGAUUUAAAGCUCCGGCGCCUAAGGAUGGGUCUGCGGCCUAUCAGGUAGUAGCGGGUGUAGCGUACCUACUAGCCUACGACGGGUACGGGUUGUGAGAGCAAGAGCCCGGAGAUGGAUUCUGAGACACGAAUCCAGGCCCUACGGGGUGCAGCAGGCGCGAAAACUUUACAAUGCUGGCAACAGCGAUAAGGGAACCUCGAGUGCCAGGUUACAAAUCUGGCUGUCGAGAUGCCUAAAAAGCAUUUCAUAGCAAGGGCCGGGCAAGACCGGUGCCAGCCGCCGCGGUAACACCGGCGGCUCGAGUGGUAACCGUUAUUAUUGGGUCUAAAGGGUCUGUAGCCGGCCGGAUGAGUCUCUUGAGAAAUCUGGCAGCUUAACUGUCAGGCUUUCAGGAGAUACUGUCUGGCUCGAGGCCGGGAGAGGUGAGAGGUACUUCAGGGGUAGGGGUGAAAUCUUGUAAUCCUUGAAGGACCACCAGUGGCGAAGGCGUCUCACCAGAACGGACCUGACGGCAAGGGACGAAAGCUAGGGGCACGAACCGGAUUAGAUACCCGGGUAGUCCUAGCCGUAAACGAUACUCGCUAGGUGUCGGCCACGGUGCGACCGUUGUCGGUGCCGUAGGGAAGCCGUGAAGCGAGCCACCUGGGAAGUACGGCCGCAAGGCUGAAACUUAAAGGAAUUGGCGGGGGAGCA